rnacentral:lncRNA from 1 species
AAGGACGAAAAGCACAAUGAUGACUAUUUGGGGGAAGGAGGCACGUCCCUCACGGAGCUGAGCUUGUAUAAGACACUGUGCUGGGGGCUUAGCAGCUCAUCUCGCUGGGUGAGGCAUACAGGUCCUCAUACCUGGCUGCAGCACCCCCUCCUUCACCCUGGAGCGCCUAUGACAUCCUGGGACAUGUCUGAGAGCAGGCUCCCCGCAACACCAGUCCCAGGGGUUACCAAAAAGAGAAGAGAUUAGAAGACAGAAGAGAAGAAGAGAAGAAGAAAUUAUCAUACUCCUAUGACCCCAAGGGCCUGUUAUCACUAAGACACUGCAGUGAAGAAUUGCAACACCGAGGCCAUUCCUUGAUUAUGGAACCUAGUUAGGGAGUCAAGACUCCAACAUGAGGAAUGUUAGAUAAGCACGCAGGAAUGAAGUCGAAGAUAACAGAGCAAGACAAAGACUGAUCGUGUGUGGGCCCUGCGUGGUCUGGGUGCAGGAGGGCAGGUCAUGGUGGGUAGGCCACGGUGGGCUGCGGAGAGAAGUCCUCUGAGAGUCCGAUUUGAAGGAUGGCCAUGGGAUGGGGUGGUGCGGGGGAGCAUCCAAGAGGGAGGCCCGUGAUCUAGGCCUGGAGCCGGGAAGGGGUCUGCAUGCUCAGUGGCCAAAAAGGAGCCCCUUGAGGCCAGAAUAGAAAGAAAACAUCUGCAAGUCCUGGGAGGGUAUGUUAGGGCCAGAAUUUUGAGGACCUUGAAAGCCAGGCAGGGGCGUCCAUGCUGGGAAAAAGAGGAUGAAGACCUCAGAAAGUAAUGCAGCAGAUAAGAGAAGUUCAUGGGGAGAUCAGCCUGGGGGCAGCCCUCAGAA